rnacentral:tRNA from 1 species
GCCUUCGUGGUAUAGUGGUCAGCACGCUCGACGCGUAACCGAGAGGUCCGUGGUUCGAUUCCUGGCGAGGCG